AACGAACGCUGGCGGCAGGCUUAACACAUGCAAGUCGAACGCACCUUUCGGGGUGAGUGGCAGACGGGUGAGUAACGCGUGGGAAUCUACCCUUCUCUACGGGAUAGCUCCGGGAAACUGGAAUUAAUACCGUAUACGUCCUGAGGGAGAAAGAUUUAUCGGGGAAGGAUGAGCCCGCGUUGGAUUAGCUAGUUGGUGGGGUAAAGGCCUACCAAGGCGACGAUCCAUAGCUGUCUAAGAGGAUGAUCAGCCACAUUGGGACUGAGACACGGCCCAAACUCCUACGGGAGGCAGCAGUGGGGAAUAUUGGACAAUGGGCGCAAGCCUGAUCCAGCCAUGCCGCGUGAGUGAUGAAGGCCCUAGGGUUGUAAAGCUCUUUCAGUGGGGACGAUAAUGACGGUACCCACAGAAGAAGCCCCGGCUAACUUCGUG
rnacentral:rRNA from 1 species